UUUUAGCACUUCCAGUGUUAUUUUCUGCCCUGUUUUUUUGUCCUAGUGCUUUACCUGCCUGUACACGCCACAGAUUUUCACCGAGUUGUGUUGUGUUUUGUUAUUUGUUUGCUUUUUUUUAGGUGGAAUAAUGGCUAUAUUCUACUCAGCAUUCGGCAAGAUGUUUGGAUAGUAUGGGUCAGGUCUUCCAGUGCCCGGUGUAUUUGCCAAAAAUUCCCAAAUCUUCAUCUGCAUUUACGUGAUUCUUUCACCGAGGUUAACCCAUUGGGUUUUGGAUGGAAAAACUCCAGGAACCUCCCCAGACAGACGCAGGAGGCUGCAGGACAAGCUGAAGAGAGAAGACAACCUGGCCACUAGUAAAUGAACCUCAUGUAAUUCGUGGCUGAACACAUUUCUGCCUGGCUUUUGAUGUUUU
rnacentral:lncRNA from 1 species